GAUUUUGAUUUCAAGUCUGGCCUGCCCAAUGAAAUGUUAUUUAAUGGCCGCGGUAUAUUGACCGUGCAAAGGUAGCAUAAUCAUUAGUUUUUUAAUUGAAAGCUAGAAUGAAAGGUUUGAUGAAAGAGUUUCUGUCUCUAUAAAAAUUUAAUAGAAUUUUAUUUUUAAGUGAAAAAGCUUAAAUAUAAAUAAAAGACGAGAAGACCCUAUAGAGUUUUAUAUUAAUAUUUAAAAUUAAUCUUAAGGAAUAAAGAGAGUUUAUUUUAGAGUUAGUAUUUUAUUGGGGUGAUAAAAAAAUUUGCAAAACUUUUUUUUUAUUUAAUCAUUUAUUUAUGAAUAUAUGAUCCUGAUGUUUUGGAUUGAAGAAUGAAUUACCUUAGGGAUAACAGCGUAAUUUUUUUUAAAGUUCUUAUUGAAGAAAGAGAUUGCGACCUCGAUGUUGGAUUAAAAUGAAUUGUUGGUGCAAAAGCUAAUAAAUUAGGUCUGUUCGACCUUUAAA
rnacentral:rRNA from 1 species